rnacentral:rRNA from 1 species
AUAAGAGCGCCUCCUUGGAGGGAGGCGGAGAAAGCGGCUUCGGCCGCGCCGGAGGAACGGCCCGCGUGCUAUUAGCUAGUUGGCGGGGUAACGGCCCACCAAGGCGACGAUAGCUAUCCGGCCUGAGAGGGUGAACGGACACAUUGGGACUGAGAUACGGCCCAGACUCCUACGGGAGGCAGCAGCUAAGAAUAUUCCGCAAUGGGGGAAACCCUGACGGAGCGACGCCGCGUGGAUGAUGAAGGCCGGAAGGUUGUAAAGUCCUUUUGGGCGCAAAGAAUAAGUACGCGAGGAAAUGCGCGUGCGGUGACGGUAGCGCCUGAAUAAGCAACGGCUAAUUACGUG